rnacentral:rRNA from 1 species
ACAGCAGUAGCCACGGUAAUACGAAGGGGGCUAGCGUUGUUCGGAUUUACUGGGCGUAAAGGGCGCGUAGGCGGACUGAUAAGUCAGGGGUGAAAUCCCAAGGCUCAACCUUGGAACUGCCUUUGAUACUGUUUGUCUUGAGUUCGAGAGAGGUAAGUGGAACUGCGAGUGUAGAGGUGAAAUUCGUAGAUAUUCGCAAGAACACCAGUGGCGAAGGCGGCUUACUGGCUCGAAACUGACGCUGAGGCGCGAAAGCGUGGGGAGCAAACAGGAUUAGAUACCCCAGUAGUCCCUGUCUCUUAUAC